GGGCUUGUAGCGCAGUUGGGAGCGCACCACAUUCGCAUUGUGGGGGUCGUCGGUUCGAAUCCGAUCAGGUCCACGA
rnacentral:tRNA from 4 species